rnacentral:ncRNA from 1 species
GGAGUCGGCAAAUUAGAUUCCUAACUUCGGGAUAAGGAUUGGCUCUGAAGAUUGAGAUAGUCGGGCUUGAUUGGGAAGCAAUAAUAUGGUUUAUGUACUCGUUCUGGGUAAAUAGAGAUUUUCGGAUCUUGUUCCUUGGGUAGCAGUUACCUAACCAAUUAUGGAACUUUCUUGCUAAAAUUUUUAAGGGAUUAUCGCAAGAUAUAUUCUUUUUAAAUUAUAACGAUUAUCAAUUAACAAUCAAUUCAGAACUGGCACGGACUUGGAGAAUCCGACUGUCUAAUUAAAACAAAGCAUUGUGAUGGCCCUAACGGGUGUUGACACAAUGUGAUUUCUGCCCAGUGCUCUGAAUGGCAAAGUGAAGAAAUUAAAGAAAGCGGGGGUGAUAGGCGGGAGUAACUAUGACUCUCUUAACAGCCGUUGAGGAGUACGGAUAUGCUUUCAGU